UACGUAGGGGGCAAGCGUUGUCCGGAAUCAUUGGGCGUAAAGAGCGCGUAGGCGGCCCAGUAAGUCCGCUCUGAAAGUCAGGGGCUCAACCCCUGGAUGCGGGUGGAUACUGCUGGGCUAGAGUCCGGAAGAGGUGAGUGGAAUUCCUGGUGUAGCGGUGAAAUGCGCAGAUAUCAGGAGGAACACCAAUAGCGAAGGCAGCUCGCUGGGACGUUACUGACACUGAGGCGCGAAAGCGUGGGGAGCGAACAGG
rnacentral:rRNA from 1 species